rnacentral:rRNA from 1 species
UACGGGGGGGGCAAGCGUUGUUCGGAAUUACUGGGCGUAAAGGGCUCGUAGGCGGCCAACUAAGUCAGACGUGAAAUCCCUCGGCUUAACCGGGGAACUGCGUCUGAUACUGGAUGGCUUGAGGUUGGGAGAGGGAUGCGGAAUUCCAGGUGUAGCGGUGAAAUUCGUAGAUAUUCGGAAGAACACCAGUGGCGAAGGCGACUUACUGGACACAUAUUGACGCUGAGGUGCGAAAGCGUGGGGAGCAAACAGG